AAGGAGUCUAACAUAUAUGCGAGUACUCGGGUGUCAAACCCGUGCGCGGAAUGAAAGUAAUGUGGUGGGAGAUUUCGGAAGCACGAUCGACCGAUCAUGAUUCAUUGAUGAAAGAUUUGAGUAUGAGCAUAUCUGUUGGGACCCGAAAGAUGGUGAACUAUGCCUGAAUAGGGUGAAGCCAGAGGAAACCCUGGUGGAGGCUCGUAGCGGUUCUAACGUGCAAAUUGAUCGUCAAAUUUGGGUAUAGGGGCGAAAGACUAAUCGAACCAUCUAGUAGCUGGUUCCUGC
rnacentral:misc_RNA from 1 species